GCCUCCAUGGUGAAAUUGGUAGACACACUGCUCUUAGGAAGCAGUGCAAGAGCAUCUCAGUUCAAAUCUGAGUGGCGGCA
rfam:Picea glauca, whole genome shotgun sequence.